UACGUACUGUGCGAACGUUAUUCGGAAUCACUGGGCUUAAAGGGUGCGUAGGCGGUUUGGCAAGUCGGGUGUGAAAGGCCCCCGCUCAACGGGGGAUGGCCAUUCGAAACUGCGAGACUUGAGAGCGCUAGGGGUGAGCGGAACUGCCGGUGGAGCGGUGAAAUGUGUUGAGAUCGGCAGGAACGCCAGUGGCGAAAGCGGCUCACUGGGGCGCGUCUGACGCUGAGGCACGAAAGCUAGGGUAGCGAACCGG
rnacentral:misc_RNA from 1 species